rnacentral:lncRNA from 1 species
AGACCAUGAUGAUGAUGAUGUAUCAUUUCAACCAAGAUGAAGACCAAUCUCCUUGAGAAUCAAAACCCUAACUUGAAUCACCACCCUCAAAUGAUUAAUGAUCCAAUCCACUGAAACCCUAGCUUGCACAUAACCUCUUCAUCUUCUGCUCAAGACUUGUGAGGAUGACUUGCACAAUGUAACCACAUGAUAUGCAAUAUGCAAUGCCUAAUGACCUACAAAUGAUAUGCAAUAUGUUAGCUAGUCCCAAGAGAGGAGGGCAAAUUUUGAGGUGUUACAG